rnacentral:rRNA from 1 species
GUCUCAGUUCAGAUUGCAGGCUGCAACUCGCCUGCAUGAAGUCGGAAUUGCUGUAAUCGCAGAUCAGCAUGCUGCGGUGAAUACGUUCCCGGGCCUUGUACACACCGCCCGUCACACCAUGGGAGUCGGUAACACCCGAAGUCGGUAGCCUAACCGUAAGGAGGGCGCCGCCGAAGGUGGGAUUGAUGACUGGGGUGAAGUCGUAACAAGGUAGC